rnacentral:misc_RNA from 1 species
GAUGAAGAACGCAGUGAAAUGCGAUAAUUAAUGUGAAUUGCAGAAUUCAGUGAAUCAUCGAGUCUUUGAACGCACAUUGCGCCCCCUGGUAUUCCGUGGGGCAUGCCUGUUCGAGCGUCAUUUAACCCCUCAAGCCUAGCUUGGUAUUGGGUGCUUGUCCCGCCUCUCGCGCGGCGACUCACCUCAAAGUCAUUGGCAGCCCGCAUCUCGCCGGCCGUGAGCGCAGCACAGACGCGCUCUUGGCAACGACGGAUCGGCUCUCCAAAAGCUUAUUUCAACCACUGACCUCGGAUCAGGUAGGGAUACCCGCUGAACUUAAGCAUAUCAAUAAGCGGAGGA